GGGAUUGUGGCUUAGUGGUAGAGUACUUGCUUAGCAAGCAUGAAGCCCUGGGUUCAAUUCCU
rnacentral:tRNA from 1 species